UCAGUUGUUGUUUUAUAUGCUGCACAUUUUCAGAACCGACACUUUGUUUCGUGGUGUUACUCUUGGAGGGAACCUCUAGGUGUGGGAAGGCGUCAGGGAACUCCUCACUGUUUAAUCUUGACAAUAGUACUUCUUAUCUAAAAGGAGCACCAGAAGAAGGGGGGGGGACUAAUAAAGAUACAAAGAACUUGACUUGGAUAACGAUAAGGAGAAAGAGAAAAGGAGAAUCUGUUAAAAUACUAGUGC